CCCAAUACACAAUUCCAUAUGCAAUUUUUAGCCCACAUAAAAUAAUACAAAAUCUCUAUGUCAAAAAAUUGGAAACGUUAAAUAUGCCUCUCUAACCUUAAAAAGAGCUUUUUCUUUUUGAUUAAGCACCUUUCAUACUUCACAGUCUAAUAGGCAGUUUCUGGUGAUCUGUGAUUUCUGUGAAUGAGGUGUUUCUUUAAAAUAGGCAUUAGAAGUGUUAUGUUAGAAUGCCGAUCUCUGUUCCCAAAUAAAUUAUUUAGCAUAUUGUGUUCUUUUUGUUUAGAAGAUACAUGAGUGUGAAAGGAAUAAAAUAGUAGUCUACAAUUAACUUCAAAAGGAAUGAAGAUGAAGUAUUGAAGCAGAAAAAUAGGAAAAAGAGUUGUGUAAUUCAUGACUAAUGAAAUGAGGAACACACAGAGAAAUCACGUGGAGGAGAUUUAAAACAUCUUUGACAAAGAACACAUUCCAGUUUUAAUAUUGAUCCAUUUCUAU